rnacentral:lncRNA from 1 species
AAAUAUUGGUAUUUUCAAAUUUUCAUUUUUCAUACACAAUCCCCAUAACCACCUGUGAUUCCAGUUGCAGAGGCGGUGGAUUCGCUACUAGAAAAUCCAAGUGCAAUCCAAAUUCUUUACCAGCAUAUGCAGAAAAGCUUAAUCAUUGACUUUCAGAUUCAUAUGGAUUUAAUUGACAUGGUUGCAAUGGACAUGGACAUGGCCGCUAUACACAGACAUGGUCACGUUGUACAAAACAUAAUGGAACAGGGUCACAUUGUACAAAACAUAAUGGAACAUGGUCAUGAUGGACAAUACAUCAUGGACAUGGUCAUGAUGGAUAAAAUAUCAUGGAUAUAGUUACGAUGGAAUAGAUAUCGUGUACAGAAUAUCACUAUCUCACCUGCCUCAUUUUCUGGCGUGGUCGCGGAAGCGUCUGGGAGUGCUAGCUCUUACGCGUAUGACUUCAUAACUCUUCUGCCGACAGUUUCAGAGCACGACCAGCUUAGUCCACGGAUUCGUAAUGGUGGGAAGACUUUUGUUCGAGAAUCGAUGAGUUUCCACGAGAUCUAUCUCCGGCGAGAGAGAAGAGAGAAGAAGAAAAAAAGAAAACUCAAGGAGAGAGCGCAAAGAUCUAAAUACGAGAGACAUGGUUAUCGGAUUGACAGAUCUGAGAAAGAGAGAAAAAAGGAGAAAAUGAGAGAAGGAAAGAAAUAGAGAAAGGUGUUUCUCGUUUUGGGAGAGAAAGAAAGAGAGAGUGAUUAAAACUAUUUUAUUAAUAUUUGACUCCCCCAAAAAAUUAUUGGUUUACAAAUCAAAAAUAACUAAAC